GAUGAACGCUGGCGGCGUGCCUAAUACAUGCAAGUCGAGCGAACAGACGAGGAGCUUGCUCCUCUGACGUUAGCGGCGGACGGGUGAGUAACACGUGGAUAACCUACCUAUAAGACUUGGAUAACUUCGGGAAACCGGAGCUAAUACCGGAUAAUAUAUUGAACCGCAUGGUUCAAUAGUGAAAGACGGUUUUGCUGUCAAUUAUAGAUGGAUCCGCGCCGCAUUAGCUAGUUGGUAAGGUAACGGCUUACCAAGGCGACGAUGCGUAGCCGACCUGAGAGGGUGAUCGGCCACACUGGAACUGAGACACGGUCCAGACUCCUACGGGAGGCAGCAGUAGGGAAUCUUCCGCAAUGGGCGAAAGCAUGACGGAGCAACGCCGCGUGAGUGAUGAAGGUCUUCGGAUCGUAAAACUCUGUUAUUAGGGAAGAACAAAUGUGUAAGUAACUAUGCACGUAUUGACGGUACCUAAUCAGAAAGCCACGGCUAACUACGUG
rnacentral:rRNA from 1 species